UGGGGAAUAUUGCACAAUGGGCGCAAGCCUGAUGCAGCCAUGCCGCGUGUAUGAAGAAGGCCUUCGGGUUGUAAAGUACUUUCAGUCGGGAGGAAGGUGGUAAGGUUAAUAACCUUAUCAAUUGACGUUACCGACAGAAGAAGCACCGGCUAACUCCGUGCCAGCAGCCGCGGUAAUACGGAGGGUGCAAGCGUUAAUCGGAAUUACUGGGCGUAAAGCGCACGCAGGCGGUUGAUUGAGUCAGAUGUGAAAUCCCCGGGCUUAACCCGGGAAUUGCAUCUGAUACUGGUCAGCUAGAGUCUUGUAGAGGGGGGUAGAAUUCCAUGUGUAGCGAUGAAAUGCGUAGAGAUGUGGAGGAAUACCGGUGGCGAAGGCGGCCACCUGGACAAAGACUGACGCUCAGGUGCGAAAGCGUGGGGAGCAAACAGG
rnacentral:rRNA from 1 species